CGGGGCCUCGUGAGUCAGACGGUUCUAUAUAUCGUAUCCUACUGGCUCUCAAAGUCCUGAU
rnacentral:pre_miRNA from 1 species